rnacentral:rRNA from 1 species
CAGUCGCCGCGGUAAUACGAAGGGGGCUAGCGUUGCUCGGAAUCACUGGGCGUAAAGGGUGCGUAGGCGGGUCUUUAAGUCAGGGGUGAAAUCCUGGGGCUCAACUCCAGAACUGCCUUUGAUACUGAAGAUCUUGAGUUCGGGAGAGGUGAGUGGAACUGCGAGUGUAGAGGUGAAAUUCGUAGAUAUUCGCAAGAACACCAGUGGCGAAGGCGGCUCACUGGCCCGAUACUGACGCUGAGGCACGAAAGCGUGGGGAGCAAACAGGAUUAGAGACCCGCGUAGUCCCUGUCUCUUAUAC